UCACUCUGAAGUAGCUGGUGGUACAA
rnacentral:piRNA from 1 species